rnacentral:rRNA from 1 species
ACCCGCGUACAUGCCACCGGGGCAUCCCGGAGGCAGGAAAGGCUUCGGCCGGACAGGGAUGGGCAUGCGGCGCAUUAGGCAGUAGGCGGGGUAACGGCCCACCUAACCGACGAUGCGUAGGGGUUCUGAGAGGAAGGUCCCCCACACUGGUACUGAGACACGGACCAGACUCCUACGGGAGGCAGCAGUGAGGAAUAUUGGUCAAUGGUCGGGAGACUGAACCAGCCAAGCCGCGUGAGGGAUGAAGGUACAGAGUAUCGUAAACCUCUUUUGUCAGGGAACAAAGGCGGGGACGUGUCCCCGGAUGAGUGUACCUGAAGAAAAAGCAUCGGCUAACUCCGUGCCAGCAGCCGCGGUAAUACGGAGGAUGCGAGCGUUAUCCGGAUUUAUUGGGUUUAAAGGGUGCGCAGGCGGUCCGUUAAGUCAGCGGUCAAAGCCCGGGGCUCAACCCCGGCCCGCCGUUGAAACUGGCAGUCUCGAGUUGGAGAGAAGUAUGCGGAAUGCGCGGUGUAGCGGUGAAAUGCAUAGAUAUCGCGCAGAACUCCGAUUGCGAAGGCAGCAUGCCGGCUCCACACUGACGCUGAGGCACGAAAGCGUGGGUAUCGAACAGGAUUAGAUACCCUGGUAGUCCACGCAGUAAACGAU